UUCACCUCGGUAAUUUUAUAUGUAGUAAGUUGUGUUUGUUAUCCGUAUGUAAGACAUACUUCCGAGGAUUUAGGGUUAUAAAUCAAUCAUUGAUCCUGAAGUGGUUCCAGAGAUGAGGAUAUCUUCCAAGGAUCAUUGUAACUUUCGGAAUCUUUGAGGUAACGGUUAAAAAGAUCAGAGGAGAUCGGCUGAUUGUCCCAAGAUCUGCACCAACCAAUCUGCAGUGAAGACAGUCCCACGGUACAGACAGUACAGGGUGCAAGGAGGGGUUGCCCGGCAUCAGUCCAAUUACCAGAGCACUAAAUCUACCCCGGAUGAAGCACUAGUGUCUUGGGUCUCAUAAACGUAACAUCUCAGGCGCAACUCUAAUUAAAAACUACCCUGUAGAGAGGGCCGGACAGGUAUUGGUUGUGCGGGGGGGGGGGGGGGUCAGAUGGUCUGCCUGGGAAUUGUACCGGGAUAGGAGUGAAGUUAUUUGACGCCCGCUUCGGUCUGAGGAUGCUUUCGUUGUCAAUAUAACGUUUAAAGUUUAUAUAAUCAAUUACUACGAUGUUGACCUCAUGGUUUCAUGUGUAUGCUGUGUCUGUAAGUUUAUUAUUCGAGGAGAAAACUAUUCUACGAUACCAUUACUUAAUGUUUUUAAUUAUUAUAGUUAUAUAUCUAUGUACGUAAAAAUUAUCAACUACUUUUACUCUA